CUCCUGAUGGUGUAGUUGGCUAUCACGUUCGGCUGUAACUGUUACAAAUUGUAACCGAAAGGUCACCGGCUCGAUUCCGGUUCGGGAGA